GUAUGGUGCAAGCGUUAUCCGGAUUUACUGGGUGUAAAGGGAGCGCAGACGGGAGAUUAAGUCAGUUGUGAAAGUUUGCGGCUCAACCGUAAAAUNGCAGUNGAUACCGGUNUCCUUGAGUGCAGUUGAGGCAGGCGGAAUUCGUGGUGUAGCGGUGAAAUGCUUAGAUAUCACGAAGAAUCCCGAUUGCGAAGGCAGCUUGCUAAACUGUAACUGACGUUCAUGCUCGAAAGUGUGGGUAUCAAACAGGAUUAGAUACCCUGGUAGUCCACACGGUAAACGAUGGAUACUCGCUGUUGGCGAUAUACUGUCAGCGGCCAAGCGAAAGCAUUAAGCAUCCCACCUGGGGAGU
rnacentral:rRNA from 1 species